UGUAUGUCAUUGUGUAUAUACAAUGACAAACUAACACACAGUGUAAGACAAUUAGACAACAGCAGAAAUAGUACGCUGAGAUUUGCAAAGUUAGUGAUGAAUUCAGUUAGCCACAACCUAAAAUGAAAGAUUGAUCUUAUUUUAAAACAGGAAUACAGCACACAGCUCUGUGCUGAAUCCAUUCAGAUUGUUGAAGAUGGUAUGGUUAGCUUGGUGUGAUUAAAAAAAAUGUGGCAAAUAAAUGUAUCUUUUCCAUUAGCAGGAUGAACAAGAAAGAAAUGCCAGAAAAGAAAACGUUAUGGAUUCCAACCCAGAAAGUGAAGGGCUGAGAGAACACCCCUCAACGGAAUGAGCAAUCUAAUCCAGACCAGGUCUGAGAGCUUCAGACUCUUUUAAACCUCAGUGGAGAGAGACUUCACCAUAGCCCAUCUUCACCACCAGGCCAGCAGGAGCUCUUCCCUGGGUGUGGUGUGUUCGUGUCAUCGUUCUGCCUUGCUGCCAUGAACCACACAUCUAAACCACAUCGCAUGCAUCAGUUUCAUGCACUGUCCAAUCAUGUCCUCACUGUUGGAGUAUCGAAAUCCCUUUUGGUCUUCCUGGAAAUAAUCCCUCCGGAAAAGAAGGAAAGCGGAUCCGUCGACGCAAUCCUAACUUGUGUCCUGAGAUGUGCCACUCCACCUGGUUGGGAAAAAUUGUGGAGGUCAAGCUCAAGAAAGCGUUUGUCAGCAAAUGUACAGCCAGAGCAGGUUCUAAGCAGUAGGCCACUGCUAUGAUCUACGUAUGUGGACUGGUUACUCUUUUAUCCUUUAUUUUUUGUUUUUAAUUUUCGUGAACCACGAGUUUUAAUACAAUUCCUGCCAAGUGUGUUCUAGGAUUUGGAAGCAUGUAAGUUCUGUUGUUUCAAAGCCAAGUGAGAUUCUUCCUUGUACCUCAGCAGUGCUGUCAGUGUGUUCAUUGUUUAGAAUCUAGAAGUAUUCAUUAUCACCACGUCGGCCAGAUUGAGUACGCCACAGUUCAUGUACUUAAUGCAAUUACAUAAAAAAAA